GACGAACCGUGCGAACGUUAUUCGGAUUCACUGGGCUUAAAGGGCGCGUAGGCGGGUGGUCAAGUCAGGGGUGAAAUCUUUCGGCUCAACCGGAAAAGGGCCUCUGAUACUGGCCAUCUCGAGGGAGGUAGGGGCAUGUGGAACUUCCGGUGGAGCGGUGAAAUGCGUAGAUAUCGGAAGGAACGCCGGUGGCGAAAGCGGGUCUCUGGACAGUUCCUGACACUGAGGCACGAAGGCCAGGGGAGCAAACGGG
rnacentral:rRNA from 1 species